rnacentral:rRNA from 1 species
CCUACGGGGGGCAGCAGUGGGGGAUAUUGCACAAUGGGGGGAACCCUGAUGCAGCGACGCCGCGUGGGUGAAGAAGCGCCUCGGCGCGUAAAGCUCUGUCAGCAGGGAAGAAAAUGACGGUACCUGAAGCAGAAGCCCCGGCUAACUACGUGCCAGCAGCCGCGGUAAUACGUAGGGGGCAAGCGUUAUCCGGAUUUACUGGGUGUAAAGGGGGCGCAGACGGCGAUGCAAGCCAGGAGUGAAAGCCCGGGGCCCAACCCCGGGACUGCUCUUGGAACUGCGUGGCUUGAGUGCAGGAGGGGCAGGCGGAAUUCCUGGUGUAGCGGUGAAAUGCGUAGAUAUCAGGAGGAACACCAGUGGCGAAGGCGGCCUGCUGGACUGCAACUGACGUUGAGGCCCGAAAGCGUGGGGAGCAAACAGGAUUAGAUACCCCAGUAGUC